CAGCAGCCGCGGUAAUACGGAGGACGCGAGCGUUAUCCGGAUUUAUUGGGUUUAAAGGGUGCGUAGGUGGACUAUUAAGUCAGUGGUGAAAGUUUGUCGCUCAACGAUAAAAUUGCCGUUGAAACUGGUGGUCUUGAGUAUGGAUGAAGUAGGCGGAAUGCGUGGUGUAGCGGUGAAAUGCAUAGAGAUCACGCAGAACUCCGAUUGCGAAGGCAGCUUACUAAGGCAUAACUGACACUGAAGCACGAAAGCGUGGGUAUCAAACAGGAUUAGAUACCCUGGUAGUCCACGCAGUAAACGAUGAUUACUAGGAGUUUGCGAUAUAGUGUAAGCUCUACAGCGAAAGCGUUAAGUAAUCCACCUGGGGAGUACGCCGGCAACGGUGAAACUCAAAGGAAUCGACGGGGGCCCGCACAAGCGGAGGAACAUGUGGUUUAAUUCGAUGAUACGCGAGGAACCUUACCCGGGAUUGAAAUGUACCUGACGAACCGCGAGAGUGGUUUUCCAGCAAUGGUAGGUAUGUAGGUGCUGCAUGGUUGUCGUCAGCUCGUGCCGUGAGGUGUCGGCUUAAGUGCCAUAACGAGCGCAACCCUAACUGUCAGUUGCUAACAGGUUAAGCUGAGGACUCUGGCGGGACUGCCGGCGUAAGCUGUGAGGAAGGUUGGGAUGACGUCAAAUCAGCACGGCCCUUACAUCCGGGGCGACACACGUGUUACAAUGGCAGGGACAAAGGGCAGCUACCGAGCGAUCGGAUGCAAAUCUCUAAACCCUGUCUCAGUUCGGAUCGGAGUCUGCAACUCGACUCCGUGAAGCUGGAUUCGCUAGUAAUCGCGCAUCAGCCAUGGCGCGGUGAAUACGUUCCCGGGCCUUGUACGCACCGCCCGUCAAGCCAUGGGAGCCGGGGGUGCCUAAAGUCCGUAACCGUUGAGGAUCGGCCUAGGGUAAAACUGGUGACUGGGGCUAAGUCGUAACAGGUAGCCGU
rnacentral:rRNA from 1 species